rnacentral:rRNA from 1 species
GACAGAGGGUGCAAACGUUGUUCGGAAUUACUGGGCGUAAAGCGCGUGUAGGCGGCUCGGCAAGUCGGGUGUGAAGCCCUGGGCUUAACCUAGGAAGUGCACUCGAAACUGCCAAGCUUGAGUUCUGGAGAGGAAGGCGGAAUUCUCGGUGUAGAGGUGAAAUUCGUAGAUAUCGAGAGGAACACCGGUGGCGAAGGCGGCCUUCUGGACAGUGACGUGACGCUGAGACGCGAAGCGUGGGGAG